CAGCUGCAUUUUAUUGAUGGCAUUUUGAAUGCACAGAGAUACCGUGACUAGAUCCUGAGGCCCAUUGUUGUGCCAUUCAUCCACCACCAUCACCUCAUGUUGCAGCAUGAUAAUGCACAGCCCCAUGUUGCAAGGAUCUGUACACAAUUCCUGGAAGCUGAAAACAUCCCAGUUUUUGCAUGGUCAGCAUACUCACCAGACAUGUCACCCAUUGAGCAUCGGUGUAUACGACAGCGUGCUCCAGGUCCUGCCAAUAUCCAGCAACUUCCUACGGCCAUUGAAGAGGAGUGGACCAACAUUCCACAGGCCACAAUCAACAACCUGAUCUACUACAUGCGAAGGAGCUGUGUUACACUGCGUGAGGCAAAUGGUGAUCACACCAGAUACUGACUGGUUUUCUGACCCUCCCUGAUCCCCC